AGAAAAAAACGACCAUUUCUUCGGCAGAAGCCAAUAGGAACGUGCCGUACCGCUCAAUUGAGCGCGCCUUUUUCGUGUUUCACAAAAAUUAGCUAAAAGUAAAUUAGCGAUUAGCUAUAGGAACUCUAGUUCCUUUUCUGUGCGACACCAUGAAGGAAUUGAAGGUGUCGAACCGGUUGAAUGGGCCGAGCCGGAUGGCGACUGCAGACGGACGCACCAUUAUCAUGGGAACAUUUGAUGACCUGAACAAAAGUAAUACUUAAGUUAAGACGCUACGCACCAACGAUCCUAUCCUAUUUGUUAGGCACAUUCAAUAAACAUGUAAGCUUCCUGCAUA